CAGGGAGACAACACAAUGAUUUUGAUGCGUGAGUGCUUUUAUUCUUAGGCCGGAAUCCUGUCACCUUAGGUCGAUCGGUACCUCAGCUUUGAAGUCAAGGAUCAGCAGCAAUGUUGAUUGCUUGAUGGAGAUUUUCAGUUCCUAAACUUUGUCUAGGUCACACCCCAAAAGGGAUGAGACUCCUGGGCCAUUAGCUCAGGUGGUUAGAGCGCACCCCUGAUAAGGGUGAGGUCCCUGGUUCAAGUCCAGGAUGGCCCAUUCGGUGUUGGGGGUUUAGCUCAGUUGGUAGAGCGCCUGCUUUGCAAGCAGGAUGUCAGGAGUUCGAGUCUCCUAACCUCCACUGACCGAACUUGAUUCCCAUCUCCAAUUUUUUGGAGUUGAGCUCGAUUGGAGUGUGAUUUAGAUGAGUGCGCUGGAUGACCCCAGCUUCCUGUCAUUCCAAGUUUUAGGUUGAUGCCUUGAAUUUGGUUGAUAAGAUGCUGGGCUCGGAUCAAAUGAUCAAGCAAUUGAUGGUUUGAUUUGAAGUUCUAGCAGAACCUUGACAACUGCAUAGGUGAGUCUGGAAAAAACAAAGCAUCUUACAGAUGCAUUGUUUUGAAUCUGAUCUUCUGAAAGGGAGAUUGGAUCUAGAACAAUGAAAAUUCUUUUGAGCAAGAGCCGAGACUCUUGAACGUUCUUUGAUUGGUGUCGAGCCAAUCAGAGUUUGAUCUUGUUUUUAGCAAUAAAAACUUGAGAAUCUGCUUUCAACGGCGGUAAGCGUUCAAGAGGUUAAUU
rnacentral:tRNA from 1 species